AUUGAACGCUGGCGGCAGGCCUAACACAUGCAAGUCGAGCGAGAGGCGGACGGGUGAGUAAUGUCUGGGGAUCUGCCUGAUGGCGGGGGCUAACUAAUGGAAACGGUAGCUAAUACCGCAUACCAUCAGAUGAACCCAUAUGGGAUUAGCUUGUAGGUGAGGUAACGGCUCACCUAGGCGACGAUCCCUAGCUGGUCUGAGAGGCUGAUCAGCCACACUGGGACUGAGACACGGCCCAGACUCCUACGUGAGGCAGCAGUGGGGAAUAUUGCACAAUGGGCGCAAGCCUGAUGCAGCCAUGCCGCGUGUAUGAAGAAGGCCUUCGGGUUGUAAAGUACUUUCAGUCGGGAGGCGUUACCGACAGAAGAAGCACCGGCUAACUCCGUGCCAGCAGCCGCGGUAAUUC
rnacentral:rRNA from 1 species